rfam:Aedes aegypti strain Liverpool supercont1.202 genomic scaffold, whole genome shotgun sequence.
UGCCCAGCAACUCCUAUCCCUACCUCCUCGUGGUACUGGCCGGGCUAUGAGUAACCUUGGGGAAGAUCGGGUAACCAACACCCGGUGGGAACUUUGGUCGUAUGCUGACAGGGAAGG